UACGUAGGGGGCAAGCGUUGUCCGGAAUCAUUGGGCGUAAAGAGCGUGUAGGCGGCUCGGUAAGUCCGCUGUGAAAGUCCAGGGCUCAACCCUGGAAUGCCGGUGGAAACUGUCGAGCUAGAGUCCGGAAGAGGCGAGUGGAAUUCCUGGUGUAGCGGUGAAAUGCGCAGAUAUCAGGAGGAACACCGGUGGCGAAGGCGGGUCUCUGGGCCGAUAUUGACGCUGAGGAGCGAAAGCGUGGGGAGCAAACAGG
rnacentral:rRNA from 1 species